AUUGAACGCUGGCGGCAUGCUUUACACAUGCAAGUCGAACGGUAACAGGCCGCAAGGUGCUGACGAGUGGCGAACGGGUGAGUAAUGCAUCGGAACGUGCCCAGUUGUGGGGGAUAACUACUCGAAAGAGUAGCUAAUAACGCAGUAGAACUGAGGUGGAAAGCAGGGGAUCGUAAGACCUUGCGCAACUAGAGCCGCCGAUGGCAGAUUAGGUAGUUGGUGGGAUAAAAGCUUACCAAGCCGACGAUCUGUGGCUGGUCUGAGAGGACCACCAGCCACACUGGUGCUGAGACACGGCCCAGACUCCUACGGGAGGCAGCAGGGGGGAAUUUUGGACAAUGGGCGAAAGCCUGAUCCAGCAAUGCCGCGUGCAGGAUGAAGGCCUUCGGGUUGUAAACUGCUUUUGUACGGAACGAAAAGAUUCGGGCUAAUACCCUGGAGUCAUGACGGUACCGUAAGAAUAAGCACCGGCUAACUACGUGCCAGCCGCCGCAGUAAGAC
rnacentral:rRNA from 1 species